rnacentral:rRNA from 1 species
UGGGGAAUAUUGGACAAUGGGCGAAAGCCUGAUCCAGCCAUGCCGCGUGGGUGAAGAAGGCCCUAGGGUUGUAAAGCCCUUUCGGCGGGGACGAUGAUGACGGUACCCGCAGAAGAAGCCCCGGCUAACUUCGUGCCAGCAGCCGCGGUAAUACGAAGGGGGCUAGCGUUGCUCGGAAUUACUGGGCGUAAAGGGCGCGUAGGCUGUCAUGUUAGUUGGGUGUGAAACCCCCGGGCUCAACCUGGGAACUGCACUCAAUACGGCAUGACUUGAGGACGAGAGAGGGUGGUGGAACUCCCAGUGUAGAGGUGAAAUUCGUAGAUAUUGGGAAGAACACCAGUGGCGAAGGCGGCCACCUGGCUCGUUCCUGACGCUGAGGCGCGAAAGCGUGGGGAGCAAACAGG